rnacentral:rRNA from 1 species
GAUGAACGCUGGCGGCGUGUCUAAUACAUGCAAGUCGAGCGAACAGACGAGGAGCUUGCUCCUCUGACGUUAGCGGCGGACGGGUGAGUAACACGUGGAUAACCUACCUAUAAGACUGGGAUAACUUCGGGAAACCGGAGCUAAUACCGGAUAAUAUAUUGAACCGCAUGGUUCAAUAGUGAAAGACGGUUUUGCUGUCACUUAUAGAUGGAUCCGCGCCGCAUUAGCUAGUUGGUAAGGUAACGGCUUACCAAGGCAAUGAUGCGUAGCCGACCUGAGAGGGUGAUCGGCCACACUGGAACUGAGACACGGUCCAGACUCCUACGGGAGGCAGCAGUAGGGAAUCUUCCGCAAUGGGCGAAAGCCUGACGGAGCAACGCCGCGUGAGUGAUGAAGGUCUUCGGAUCGUAAAACUCUGUUAUUAGGGAAGAACAAAUGUGUAAGUAACUAUGCACGUCUUGACGGUACCUAAUCAGAAAGCCACGGCUAACUACGUG